UACGUAGGGUGCGAGCGUUAAUCGGAAUUACUGGGCGUAAAGCGUGCGCAGGCGGUGAGCUGUGUCCGAUGUGAAAGCCCCGGGCUUAAACCCUGGGAAUGGCAUUGGAAACUGGCUCGCUGGAGUGUGGCAGAGGGGGGUGGAAUUCCGCGUGUAGCAGUGAAAUGCGUAGAGAUGCGGAGGAACACCGAUGGCGAAGGCAGCCCCCUGGGCUAACACUGACGCCUCAGGCACGAAAGCGUGGGGAGCAAACAGG
rnacentral:rRNA from 1 species